rnacentral:rRNA from 1 species
GACGAACGCUGGCGGCGUGCUUAACACAUGCAAGUCGAGCGGUAAGGCCCUUUCGGGGGUACACGAGCGGCGAACGGGUGAGUAACACGUGGGUGACCUGCCCUCAGCUCUGGGAUAAGCCUGGGAAACUGGGUCUAAUACCGGAUAUGACUCCAUGACGCAUGUUGUGGGGUGGAAAGCCUUGUGCGGCUGAGGAUGGGCCCGCGGCCUAUCAGCUUGUUGGUGGGGUGAGGCCUACCAAGGCGACGACGGGUAGCCGGCCUGAGAGGGCGACCGGCCACACUGGGACUGAGACACGGCCCAGACUCCUACGGGAGGCAGCAGUGGGGAAUCUUGCGCAAUGGGCGAAAGCCUGACGCAGCGACGCCGCGUGAGGGAUGACGGCCUGGUGUAACU